AUGAGAGGGCAAACAGAACCCUCUCGAUCCCUAGUUCAGUCUCCAGAACCCUCGAUCCCCAAUUCAGUCUCCUGCCACUCCACCGCCGCCGCCACCAUCGCCCUGUCCAACGCCACCAUCGUCCGGUCCACCGUCGCCGCCUCCAUCGUCCGGUCCACCGCCGCAGCCGCCGCCACACCAUCCUCCGGUCCACCGCCGCCGCUGCCUCCCCUUCCCGCGGAAGGCCGUUCUUCCGCCCGCAUCUGCCUCACCACCGGCGUAGCGCCGGUCUCCACCUCGCCACCCGCCGGAGCACCAGCACCCGCCUCCCCACCGAGCUCCCGUACUAGUCCCCCCAUUCAACUUUACGCGUCUUCACCUCUGGCUGUCCGUACUCCUCUGCUCGCUGCAUCACAAGCCCUCUGUCUUCAUAUCUCUGCCGCAGAUCGUGUGAAGGAAGAGUUUUGGAACUUGUUUGAGCUGCAUGUUGAUGACGAGGAAGAUGACAGUGCCCGAAUCCAAAUUGAGCAAGAGGCUAACCGGAUUAUUGACACAUAUGCAAGGAAAAAGGUGAAAGACAUGUUGUACCAACUUCGUGUGGAUGCUGUGAAGCUUUACUAUGAGAAUCAAGGAGAGAAGCUUGAUGACUCGAUGGCUUGUGCAAGAGAACUCGAAUAUGAGCAAUACCUCCAGAGUAGGAUACCAUGGUGCAAGGAAGUUGCAUGGCCUGGACGAUGUCGUUAUUGGACAUCAAAGGAAUACAAGACCAACAUGGGGAGGGGACGAGAAGCUCGCUUGAAAUCUAAGGAUAUUGCUCCAAACCGAGGAGGCUCACGACCUUUUGCGGAGGCACAACAAUAUUUGGAAGAGACGCUUGGACCUGAGAAGGCGACCACGCUGAAUACAUAUACUGCAAUGAAAUGUGGAAUGAAGAAUGUGAGUAGCAGUGGCAACAAUGGCGCAAUCAUUAGCAAUGGUGCAAUCAUGAGCCAGAAAGCACAAAAACGCUUUGAUGACUAUACUGCAUUGGCUAAAGAGAAGUAUCCAGAUAGUUGGGAGGGAAGAGAGCUGGACGGUGAGCUGCUGUAUGAAGCAUCAGGUGGCAUUCCUCAUGGUCGCGUGUCAAUAGGCGAUGGGGCUAUUAAGAAAGCAGAUAUUAAAUCAGCAGCUAGAAAAAGAAAUGUCAGUGCAUCAAUUUCGCUCACACUUCGAGAGAAGGAACAACUCAGGCGUGUUAAUGAAGAAAAUGCAGAACUCAGGCGUGCUAAGGAGAUGCUACAGCAGAAAGUAGAUAUGCAUGGGCAGCUCAUAACUGCACUUUUCAAGGAGAUAGGAAAAGAGUUGCCAGCUCAUAUACUACAUAUACUAAGCCAUGGAGCUGUUUCGCAACCAGAAGGAGAAAUAACUCAUCUCAAGCCGGCUCGCAAGCGGUUGAUGGCAACAAUGAUGUCAUGGAGUCAAGCGAGGAGGAUGAAGCCACUGGGAAUGUCGGCGAUCAGACCGUUGACGCAGCCAACCAUGGCGGAAACUGAUUGCUCAAUCAACAUGAUAACAUCAGACUAUAGGUGGUCGUAA
rnacentral:rRNA from 1 species